UUGGCUCCUGUGUUUGCAUAGCAUGGUGAUGAGUAUUAAAGGUUCAUUCUACCCCUUACACUCCCAAGUGCAGAGCUUUAGCUCAGGCUAUAGUUGCUCAUUUUUAGCUCCAGAGGCAACUGAUUCAGUUCCUGGUGUGUUGUUGCUGCACUUGCUUAGGGGCCUUACUUGGGAAUUUCCAGUGGAGGUAGCUAUGCUGCUCCAACAGAGGUGCUUGCUGUAAGCUUGGAUGGGCCAAAGAAGGAACUGCUUAGCCUGAGAAGAGCUAAGACCAAUGUCUUCUGCCCUGCAUCAAUGAGGUAGGAGAUAUUUGAGCCCAGGGAGGACAAAGCUCUGUUUUGUUUUGACCUGUCUUAUGUUACCCAGGAGGACCAAAGCUUGAACAAACUGACCUGACUGACCCUGCUGCAGAGCCGCUUCUCCCUCCUUAACCCAGGGGAUGGAAGGCAAAGCUGACACAGACUGAAAACUGUAAACUCAAGCUUUGGACAAAUGUAACCAUCAACCAUUUUAAAAUGCUUCCAGCUUGGUAACUGCUCUUGCAUUUGUGAAUCAAGCUGGGUUCCUUCCACUUCAGGUAUCAUCAUCACCAGAAUUAGACAAUCCUGAGGUCAGUGAUGGAGUGUCCGGGGAGGCUGAAGUGUUCUGCCCCAGGCUUUUAUCAGGCACAUCAGACUGCAAAGACUGGAUCCUGCCACUGCAUCUUUUUGGAUACAGCCCUGUGCCCUGUGUAACAUAAGUGCGCCUUAGAAGAUCUAGAACUAAGUUUGCUCCCUCUGGAUUUUGUUACUGCAAAGGGGAAUAGUGCAUGGGUGCCAAGAGCAAAACAAACGUGAGGCCCAAACACUUGCACACACCCCUAUUGGUUCAAAAUAAUAGCAGCUGGCUAUGGUUAAAAGGAAAUUACAGCACCAGACAUAGGAGGUGAGUCAUAUUGUGACAGGGUGGACAGCUGUAGCCUUGUUUGCCCUCAUUUGGCUUGGCAUGC